rnacentral:RNase_P_RNA from 2 species
CCUGUCGGCCGGAUGACCGCGGUCCCGAUUCGUCGGGGUCGAGGAAAGUCCGACCUCCACAGGACACGGUGGUGGGUAACGCCCACCGUCCCGCGGGGUGACCUUCGGGAUAGGGAAAGUGCAACAGAAAGGAUACCGCCCUGAGCUUGUCGAAGGGUAAGGGUGAAAAGGUGCGGUAAGAGCGCACCGGUUCCGGUGGUGACAUCGGAGCCCGGCAAACCCCACCGGGAGAAAGACCAAAUAGGAGGGACGAGGUGGUCCGCCUCGCUUGACCUCCGGGUAGGUCGUUCGAGGUCCCGGGCAACCGGGAUCCCAGAGAAAUGGUCAUCGCCCCGAGCAUCGGCCCGGGGUACAGGAGUCGGCUUACAGACCGACAGGGCCC